GGCUGGGGUAAAAGAUCCUGAUGCCAUGUCGGUUAGAGCAUCGUGCUAAUAACGCGAGGGUCGCAGGUUCGAGCCCUGCAUCGACCA
rnacentral:tRNA from 1 species